rnacentral:rRNA from 1 species
UCGAUUCCCUUAGUAGCGGCGAGCGAAACGGGAAGAGCCCAAACCAACAAGCUUGCUUGUUGGGGUUGUAGGACACUCUAUACGGAGUUACAAAGGACGACAUUAGACGAAUCAUCUGGAAAGAUGAAUCAAAGAAGGUAAUAAUCCUGUAGUCGAAAAUGUUGUCUCUCUUGAGUGGAUCCUGAGUACGACGGAGCACGUGAAAUUCCGUCGGAAUCUGGGAGGACCAUCUCCUAAGGCUAAAUACUCUCUAGUGACCGAUAGUGAACCAGUACCGUGAGGGAAAGGUGAAAAGCACCCCGGAAGGGGAGUGAAAUAGAACCUGAAACCGUGUGCUUACAAGUAGUCAGAGCCCGUUAAUGGGUGAUGGCGUGCCUUUUGUAGAAUGAACCGGCGAGUUACGAUUUGAUGCAAGGUUAAGCAGUAAAUGUGGAGCCGUAGCGAAAGCGAGUCUGAAUAGGGCGUUUAGUAUUUGGUCGUAGACCCGAAACCAGGUGAUCUACCCUUGGUCAGGUUGAAGUUCAGGUAACACUGAAUGGAGGACCGAACCGACUUACGUUGAAAAGUGAGCGGAUGAACUGAGGGUAGCGGAGAAAUUCCAAUCGAACCUGGAGAUAGCUGGUUCUCUCCGAAAUAGCUUUAGGGCUAGCCUCAAGUGAUGAUUAUUGGAGGUAGAGCACUGUUUGGACGAGGGGCCCCUCUCGGGUUACCGAAUUCAGACAAACUCCGAAUGCCAAUUAAUUUAACUUGGGAGUCAGAACAUGGGUGAUAAGGUCCGUGUUCGAAAGGGAAACAGCCCAGACCACCAGCUAAGGUCCCAAAAUAUAUGUUAAGUGGAAAAGGAUGUGGCGUUGCCCAGACAACUAGGAUGUUGGCUUAGAAGCAGCCAUCAUUUAAAGAGUGCGUAAUAGCUCACUAGUCGAGUGACACUGCGC